UGCUUGCUGACCUGAAUCGAUGUCUCUGUGUUGCAACUAAACAGAAUACCAUGUGUACCAAAAGAAUAGUUAACAACAUAUACUACAAACUCCCAUGUUUCUGUAAACAGGUGGGCAAAGCCAUGUCAUCUAAUGAGACUGCAGCUUAUGAAAUCCUGAGGUCCCUGGAUGUUGACUAUGUCCUGAUCAUCUUUGGUGGAGUGAUUGGCUACUCAGGCGAUGAUAUUAAUAAGUUCCUGUGGAUGGUGCGCAUCGCAGAGGGGGAGCACCCCAAGGAUAUCAGGGAAAGUGACUAUUUUACACCACAGGGAGAGUUCAGAGUGGACAAAGCCGGCGCCCCCACCCUGCUUAACUGCCUUAUGUACAAAAUGUCUUAUUACCGCUUUGGAGAGAUAUUACGCUUUGCAGUUGGACUUCCCGACACCACCAGGCUUUGACCGGACACGUAAUGCUGAGAUUGGCAACAAGGACAUAAAGCUAAAGCACCUGGAGGAAGCAUUCACAUCAGAGCACUGAUUGGUUAGGAUUUAUAAGGUCAAAAAGCUGGAAAACAGAGACCGUGUGGAGCACGAACUGCGAAGUACUGACACUGUGUUAUGAUGACCCUUUAGCGGCUGGAUUUGCAGUAGUGGAUGAUGAACAAGCCAAGGAUUCAAAGGACUUUGACGUGCAGUUUAUUUACAACAACCACCAUGACACAACUAGAACAAUUGAAAUAGCCAGCCACCAGCAACACAGUUAGAUGGAAAAUGGCUCCUUUUAUACUGUGUCCCUGGUGGACUACAUUGCAUCAUACCAUUGACAGCCACUUGGUCCCUCCCGGAACGUUCUUUUACCCUGUUCGUACCCCGGGGACUUCUUUCGGCCGAACACGGGAGCAGACACAAGAUCGGACCCGUAGAGCCCAGCGCCGGUCACCCGAUACCUGUAUUGUGACAUGUUCAAUACAUAUGCCAUGUAACCAAUCUACACUUACUACUCAAGAUGCAAAUAUCCUGUACAACGCUCUGUGAAUAAUAAAGUGCAAAAUGUCGCUGUUCAUGUUUGUAGUCAUUCGGUACAAGUAAAAUCGUCAUACUCUUCCCCCCACUAUACAAUAUUUACAAGCCAAGGCCGACAGUCACUGGUAACGAAGCGCCCUUCGUUACACACUGUUAAGCAGAGGUACACCUCUAAAAAGAUGGCCAAGAGGAGACGGGGAUACAUCAAGAACAAGCUGUCCCUCAAGAAGGGCAAGAAACUGAUCAAGAAGUCUUUAUAGAAAGCCCACCACCAAAAGAGGCAUUGUGGAUGAGAGAGUGGAAAAAUCUUUAGCACAGAACUUUAAACAAUAACAAGCAGCAAAAGUAAAAAUCCACCUAUUAAGAUGAAUAAGGAACACCAGAGGCUCUCAAGACAUCUUUCAUCAAGAGCAUUCUUACCUGGAGGUCCUGGCUGGAACAGUUACCAUCACCUAGAACAAUGUAUUUAAUCCCCAAUGAUCUUGAUAUGACCUGAUAAGUGGGGUGAAGCAUGCAGAAAACAGGAGAUGUCAGUCUGAGAAUCUCCCCACACUGGUUUUAACCUAAGGAACUGUGACCUUUGACUUGCUUUCCUUUUUGUACUUGAAUGUGCUGUGACUGACUGGUGACAGAGAGAGCAAGACAGAUUAGAUGUCCUUAAUCCAAGGGUUUAGGUUGAUGGAAAAUGAGAGAAAGAAACAGAAAUUUACUUGCUCACCACCCUGCUUCUUUACUUUCAACCAAGUGUCAGUUACAAGUACAGAAAUGAAGCAAUAUGAAUUUGUGCUCACAUGCUUAUGAAACAUCCAUUUGUCAUUUGGUCGGAUCACAGUGAGCACGUAUGUGAUGGGUAGUUUCUUUAAUAUACUUAAUUUAUCUUUUACAUUCUCCUUAGAAUCCAUUGCCUACAGAAAUAUGCAUGUACAUGUGCCGACAAGGAGAAGUCAUUAUGCUUCUUCCAACCUCAUAGUGCUGAACUGACAGGACAUAUUAUUUUAGAACCAGACUGCGUAGGCAACUUAAAGUAUAAUUUUUUUUUUGUUACAACUUGGAAUUGAUUUUCAUAGUUUCUCUUUGUCUGAAAUAACAACAUUGUGCUCUUCAUUGCUGAGACCUGGGAACAUAGUGACAUUGCUUAAAGCCAUGCAACCAUGAGCAGUUAGUUAGGUUGUAAACAAACUUAUUAAAAUGUAUUUGGAAGAGAAUGCUUAAAAAUUACAACCCAAACUGUCAGUUGAAAACAUCCAUUACAGUUUACAGACUGACUUCCUCGCUCAGCUUUGACCCACUGUACAGACUGAAGGUGUGUACACACAGUUCUUCUCUAAAAUGAGGGAUUACUACCAACAUUUUCUUUCAGUUUUAGCACCAGUUAAAGGGUUCUUCCAAUAAAUUAGAAUUGCAAAAAAUUAUUUUACAAAAGAAUGGGCAAAUCAGAGCAGCAGACUGUAAUAUCCUGACUUUUUGUCACGACUGAGCUAGGAACCCCAGAAGCAGAACACAGAUUGCAAGACAAACAACAUUUAUUUGGGAAUAGGUGGUGUAAAGGGGUCAGGAUGGUACUGGUCCAGAGAGGGGUGCUGCGGCAAGUGAAGGAGUCCAGGGGUGGAGAAGGGUUGGCAGGUGGACUGGAGGGAAUGGCAGGUGGGCUGGCAGGCAGGAACUAGACAGAGACAAGGUGAGUAACGAACUGACUAGCAAGGCAAAGAGGAGCCGAAGUUCUCUCAAGACAAACCAUGUACUGGAGUGACGAUCCGGCAGGGAAUGAAGGCAGGAGCAGGGAUUAAGUACAUCCAGGGUGACGAGCUGAUGGGAAACAGGUGAGCUUGAUCGUAGAGGCACGGCAGGUGUGGAGUGGCAGACCCAGCAGGAGAGACAGAGAGCAAGGGGGAGGAGCAGGCAACACAGAGACAAACAAACAGACACUGACAGGCAGGUCAAGGAGCUGACCUCGUGACACUUUUAUUUACUAGUAUGGUUCAAACUCCAAAAACACUGGAACCUACAUUUCUCACAACUGGAUAGUCUUUCAUUAGGUCCUCCUCCUCUCUUAAAUACUUGGUUCUUUCAAACCCCACAACUCCUGUUUAUAAUAAAGGCUUUCAAUUAUAAAUUUUGUUUCUCAAGACCAAUCCAAAAUUACACUUGCUGACAGUGUCAGGGUUUUUUGUUGUUGUUGUUGUUUGGUAAGUUUCUCCACAGAUGACAUUUAAGAAUGGUUUUCACAGACUGAGUAAUCCUCCUUGUAUGUGCCCUUUUUAUUUUUAAUAUUCCCUAAAACUGAAUCUGCCUUAUUCUGUUUCUUGAAACAUAUCCAUCCUGUGUGAGCAGACUUUGAUUCUCUUGUGAGCUUUAGUUAGAACAACACAAUUGUAAAACAAUCCAGGUGGUGGGGAUAGCAUUGGCCUUAUGAGAUGUUAAAAAAAAACAAAAAAAAAAAACAUAUCUUUUCCAGAGCUUCACACAGACAGUGAGUGAGUGUAUUUAUUCCAUGGACAAUGAAGGAUGUGAUGGCUACAGCAAGGGUAGCAUCCUAUCAAGGAUUUUAUUUUGGUUUGGUUUUUGAGGUUUCUCCAUUAAUUGUAACAAUCUUGAUUCAGGUAUGAGAAUGAAACAUGCCUUUCGAAUA